rnacentral:rRNA from 1 species
GAGUUUGAUCAUGGCUCAGAUUGAACGCUGGCGGCAUGCCUUACACAUGCAAGUCGAACGGUAGAGUAGCAAUACUCGAGAGUGGCGAACGGGUGAGUAAUAUAUCGGAACGUGCCCAGUCGUGGGGGAUAACGCAGAGAAAUUUACGCUAAUACCGCAUACGAUCUAAGGAUGAAAGCGGGGGAUCGCAAGACCUCGCGCGAUUGGAGCGGCUGAUAUCAGAUUAGGUUGUUGGUGAGGUAAAAGCUCACCAAGCCGACGAUCUGUAGCUGGUUUGAGAGAACGACCAGCCACACUGGGACUGAGACACGGCCCAGACCCCUACGGGAGGCAGCAGUGGGGAAUCUUGGACAAUGGGCGCAAGCCUGAUCCAGCCAUGCCGCGUGAGUGAAGAAGGCCUUCGGGUUGUAAAGCUCUUUUACCAGGGACGAUAAUGACGGUACCUGGAGAAUAAGCCCCGGCAAACCUCGUGCCAGCAGCCGCGGUAAUACGUAGGGUGCGAGCGUUAAUCGGAAUUACUGGGCGUAAAGCGUGCGCAGGCGGUUCUGAAAGUCAGCUGUGAAAGCCCCGGGCUUAACCUGGGAAUGGCGGUUGAAACUACAGGACUAGAAUCUGGCAGAGGGGGUGGAAUUCCACGUGUAGCAGUGAA